rnacentral:rRNA from 1 species
UCGUCUUUCGCUUUUAAAAUAUGAAAGAUAAUGCCUGCCCAGUGAAUUUACAUUUAAACGGCCGCGUUAGCGUGAGCGUGCUAAGGUAGCGUAAUAAAUAGCCUUUUAAUUGAAGGCCAGUGAAUGGCAAGACUAGGAAUAACUAUACCAGAUAUGUUAAAAAAACUUUUCAUUUGAGUGAAAAGACUCGAAUUACUAAGGAAGACGAAAAGACCCCGCGGAGCUUUACCUAAAAAUUCUUAAAUAUAAUUUUUUAGAAUUAAAAAGUUUGAUUGGGGCAAUCUUGGAACCACAGCAACUUCCAAUUUUCUUAACAAAAACAUACAAAGCUUAAUAAGAAGUAAAAAGCAGCUACCCCGGGGAUAACAGCGUUAUCCAACUUAAGAGUACAUAUCGAAAGUUGGGUUUGCGACCUCGAUGUUGGCUUAAAGGUAUCCACAUUAGUGCAGCCGCUAUGAAAGGAUAGUCUGUUCGACUAUUGCACCUUU